rnacentral:rRNA from 1 species
UACGGGGGGAGCAAGCGUUGUUCGGAUUUACUGGCGUAAAGGGCGCGUAGGCGGUCAGCACAAGUCAGUUGUGAAAUCUCCGGGCUUAACUCGGAAAGGUCAACUGAUACUGUGCGACUAGAGUGCAGAAGGGGCAACUGGAAUUCUCGGUGUAGCGGUGAAAUGCGUAGAUAUCGAGAGGAACACCUGCGGCGAAGGCGGGUUGCUGGGCUGACACUGACGCUGAGGCGCGAAAGCCAGGGGAGCGAACGGG